AGUUAUUGAUUGAAGACUAAGAAGAUAGAACAACAUAUCCAUGGUCCAGAGGUGCACAUCGCAACUGACUUCUAGAUUGCUGCUUGGUAGCCACAUGAACACAAGUCUUCUAAUUGUCCUUUGAAAUGACCUCCUCUUUUGUAUAUGUCAUGUUCCAGCACUAAUAUACUUGAGGACGCUAACCAAUUCUGCAGAAGGCUCCUACUGAGCUCAGCAGUGCUGAUGAAUGACAAGAAUGUGUGAGCUUCCGAUCAGCCAGUGCACAACAUUUCCAAGUACGAUGGAAGAGAAGGAACAGAGAUCAGAAGACCGACAUGGCCCCAGUAUCUAUGUUACAUAGAAAAUGAGGCACAGUGAUACAGAAAAAGACCUUCACUUGUGGAUGAGAAAGUGCUGAAGAGUGUAAGUAGAAUAUCCAAUAGCUGCAGAAGGCUAUACUUCACAUAUGCCAAAAUGAGCAAUGUCAUGAUGCUAUCUGGCAAAUAAUAGAACAUGAUGUAAUAGGCAAAGCAAAUAAAAACUGGCCAGUACAAUUGUCA